rnacentral:rRNA from 1 species
UACGUAGGGGCGAGCGUUGUCCGGAUUUAUUGGGCGUAAAGAGCGUGUAGGCGGCCAGGUAGGUCUGCUGUGAAAACUCGAGGCUCAACCUCGAGACGUCGGCGGAAACCAUCGUGGCUAGAGUCCGGAAGAGGAGAGUGGAAUUCCUGGUGUAGCGGUGAAAUGCGCAGAUAUCAGGAAGAACACCCGUGGCGAAGGCGGCUCUCUGGGACGGUACUGACGCUGAGACGCGAAAGCGUGGGGAGCGAACAGG